UGGGGAAUAUUGGACAAUGGGGGCAACCCUGAUCCAGCCAUGCCGCGUGAGUGAUGAAGGCCUUCGGGUUGUAAAGCUCUUUUGGCGGGGACGAUGACGACGGUACCCGCAGAAUAAGCCCCGGCUAACUUCGUGCCAGCAGCCGCGGUAAGACGAAGGGGGCUAGCGUUGUUCGGAAUUACUGGGCGUAAAGCGAGUGUAGGCGGUUGCCGUAGUCAGGUGUGAAAGCCUUGAGCUCAACUCAAGAAAUGCACUUGAUACUGGGUGACUAGAGGACCGGAGAGGAUAGUGGAAUUCCCAGUGUAGUGGUGAAAUACGUAGAGAUUGGGAAGAACACCAGUGGCGAAGGCGGCUAUCUGGACGGUUACUGACGCUAAGACUCGAAAGCGUGGGGAGCAAAACAGGAUUAGAUACCCUGGUAGUCCACGCCGUAAACGAUGGGUGCUAGACGUUGGCGAGCUUGCUCGUCAGUGUCGCAGCUAACGCGUUAAGCACCCCGCCUGGGGAGU
rnacentral:rRNA from 1 species